UAAAGGUAUUCCGGUAGACGAUGGGGAUGCGUUCCAUUAGAUAGUAGGCGGGGUAACGGCCCACCUAGUCUUCGAUGGAUAGGGGUUCUGAGAGGAAGGUCCCCCACAUUGGAACUGAGACACGGUCCAAACUCCUACGGGAGGCAGCAGUGAGGAAUAUUGGUCAAUGGGCGAGAGCCUGAACCAGCCAAGUAGCGUGAAGGAUGACUGCCCUAUGGGUUGUAAACUUCUUUUAUAAAGGAAUAAAGUCGGGUAUGGAUACCCGUUUGCAUGUACUUUAUGAAUAAGGAUCGGCUAACUCCGUGCCAGCAGCCGCGGUAAUACGGAGGAUCCGAGCGUUAUCCGGAUUUAUUGGGUUUAAAGGGAGCGUAGAUGGAUGUUUAAGUCAGUUGUGAAAGUUUGCGGCUCAACCGUAAAAUUGCAGUUGAUACUGGAUAUCUUGAGUGCAGUUGAGGCAGGCGGAAUUCGUGGUGUAGCGGUGAAAUGCUUAGAUAUCACGAAGAACUCCGAUUGCGAAGGCAGCCUGCUAAGCUGCAACUGACAUUGAGGCUCGAAAGUGUGGGUAUCAAACAGGAUUAGAUACCCUGGUAGUCCACACGGUAA
rnacentral:rRNA from 1 species